ACGUUAGUUUUUUUUCCCUUUUGAGACAGUGUCUUGUUAGCCCAGGAUGGCCUUGAGAUUACAGCUGUGCACCUCUGUCGGCAGCUGGGAUUAUAGCCUAGCACAUUUCCCCUCUCCGCAGGUGUCCUUCUUUAAGACGCCCAGGCUGACUGCAGUGGUGGCUCUGCAUUACUCUCCGUGUGGUCUUCUGUCUACAUUGUGGCAUAAGACUUACCACACCCCUGCUCGUCCUUGAACUCCCAGGCUUCCCGCCCCAGCCCAGGGGGGCUCUAAGCAUGUGUCAGCAUGCCCGGUUCAUCUGUCUCUGUCUCUAGAGACACUGGUCUAAGUACAACAAAAUAUAAGAGCCGAAUAUUCAGCUGGGGAUAUGGAGACACUGUGUAAAUAUAGAGAGGAGGGAACUCCUGAACUCUGACCCCCAUCUCCAGUGAUGUCAGAGCUCCUUUUAUCUUUAAAGGGAAACAUGGGUAUUUUCACACACUAUGAUCUUGGCAGUGGAAUUACUAAGUGAUUUUGCUGUUAGUUAUCCUCUUCUCUUUCAGAAGUUAUAUUUUCUUUCUUAUGUUCCUUUAUCAUCUACCAGGUGUGGUAGCACAUGGUUAUAAUCCAAGCUACUCAGGAGGCUCAGGCAUGAGGACGGAAGUCAAGCUCUGGCUGACCUGGAUCUCUCUAUCUGGAUCAAGCUAGCUUUCACAGAGUCCUGCUUGUCUGUGCCUCUCCAGCUGGAAUUAAAGCACUGAGAUUUUCCUCCCAACUUCCAAAUACAAGGGUACUUAGACUCCAAACUGGCAUGGCCUAAGAAGAAGAACAACAAAGACCAACCCAUCAGAAUGAUACGAAACCUCUCAGCCAGGAGAAGCCUAAAGUCGGGAAAUGGGGAAUGAUGCAUUUCAAGCCCUGACAGCAAAUAAUUGCCUACCAAGAUGAUACAGCCAGAAAAGCUAUCUUUUAAAAGUGACGAAGAAAUAUAUUUGACAAGUGCAAACUCAAGUCACUUAUGACCACUAAGCCAGUCCCUGCUAUGAUGCCACAGGUCCAAAGCAACCAUGGAUGGAAACGUCUAAACUGAAAUAGACAUGGAACACUUUAUUUACUUAUCUCUUUUAUCUAUGUUUGUUUGUUAUUUAUUUAUUUUGAGAUAGGGUCUCUGUGUAGUUCUGGAGAUCAGGCUAGCCUUGAACUCUGAAACAUCCACCUGGAUUUGCCUUCAUUGUGCCCGGUUUAAAGGCAUGAGCCACCACACCUGGCAACCUUUCCACUUUAUGAGGUAGUUACCUUAGGCGCCUCUUGACUGAAUGGUACAAUUUUAAUUUUAAUCCAUUUUGGAAAGUGGUCAGCUACCAUAUUUUCAAGUAUUACUUCUACAUCAUUUUUUCUCUUCAUCUUAAAACCUCCAGUUACAUAUUCAGUCAGAUCUUUCUUGCUCUGACAUGUCACCUUUUCUUAUUUCUUGAAUUUACUAGAAUGUCGUCCCUUUGUUGGUCUGAGUGGCAUGUGUCCAUUUCUUGAAUUCUGUCUGGUAAUCAUCUGGUAGAUCUACUAGUUCUAAAUUUCAUUUUUAGUAUUUAAUUAGCUCUCAAAUCUACUUUCUCCACCGCUUUUUCUUUUGGAGAGACAGUUGUACCCCCACCCCGUCCCGACUAGUGCAAGUACAGUGAUCUUCGGGGCUUUCUGCUCUAUGUGGGCCUUAAACUGAUUUCCUGAGCCAGAAGGUCAGCUGUCAGAGGUACUGUCUCAACUGCUCCUCUGAAGUCACAAACACUUUCAAAAGGAACGACCAAACAUCAGGGUGAACUGUGGGGAUUUAAAUCUGUACACAACCCGAAUGGGUGAUUACAUGCAGCCUCCUUAGGGCCUAGUCGUCUUCUUUCUCCCUUCCACCUCCCUCUCCUUUCUUGUGCAGCUUCUUCAGAUUAUCUGUUAACUUUUUCUUGUUUUCGUUGCAAAGAUGUGGGCCUAAAUGGCACAGUCUACCAUCACUUUAUGUGAAAAUCUCAACACGUAGCCUUAUAUCUUACUAUGGUUAUAAUAUGAAAAAAUUCCCAUAUUAUAGCCUUCAAAACACCAUAUUAAAUUACCAUUCCUCAAAGGAGAGCAUGCUUACCUGUUGUUCUAGGAUCAUCGCCUUUUCUCGUUCUACAUUGAGAACCAUUCUCUUUGUAUAUUCAAGUUGCUUCUCUAGAAGAGUACAACGGGACUGGGCUGAGCUUAACUGGAUGCUUAUAUCUAUGUGAGACAAAAUAGGGAGUUAAUCAGCUGAUUGUUACAUAGGUCAGGGACUGAGUGACUCUGUGUGUAUGUGGUGUGCAUUGUGCACACACAAGCCAGAGGAGGAGGGUGUCAACUGUCUUCCUCUACUCCCUCUGCCUUAUUCCCAGUCAGGCCUCUCACAUGACUGGAAGCCAUUGGUUCAGCUUGCCUGGCUGGCCAGCAACUAAGCUCUUCCCCCUUUUCCCCGCCUACCCCAAAGCUGGAGCUCGAGGUCCUCACAGUCAUGGUCUCUAAUUCUGACCUCAUUCUUAUACAGCCAGCACUCGCUCUCGUCACUGACUUUAAACAGACUUUUGGUGACUAACUCAUUGAUGGCGUCUGAGAGCAACCUGUGUGUUUCAGUUUUCACUCUGCCAGUUAGCCCUGGGAAUCAAACUGAGGUCAUCAAGUUUGGCAGCAAGCAGCAGUCACACUGGCUCUCUUCUCUCCUCUCCUCCUCUUUUUCUUUUUAUCAGAAAAUAAAUGUGUGUCUGCAAAACAGUCUCUCACUGUGUAACUUGCUAUGAACACACAGAGAUCAGCCUCUGUCUCCCAAGUACUGAGACUAAAGGUGUGCACCCCCAUUCCCGGCUGUCUGCUCUGCACUGAACUACUGACCACUCAGUUAAUUCUAAAGGGGAGUAACCAGAGUUUAACCCUUUCACUUUCAUCAGUUUAAACUUGCCCAGUCUCGCUUUCUCUUCUCAUCCUUCACUCUGUUUGCAAGGUGAAACAAGAAGAGGGGCUUUAUGAAUGCGGGUGAAUGUUUUAGAAGGAAAGCAAAAAGUUUUGAAGAAAAAAAUAGACAAAGAACUCACACUCUAAAUUUCUUAAGAUUCUUAUUUAAUGCCCCUUUCCUAAUUUCCACAGAAGCCUCUAUCUCCUCUAAUUAAUCCUAUAUUCCUCAAGUUGAAUAAAAUUAUUUUCCGUU